rnacentral:rRNA from 1 species
AUUGCCCUCUUUCUUUAGGCCUAACACAUGCAAGUCGAACGGCAGCACAGUAAGAGCUUGCUCUUACGGGUGGCGAGUGGCGGACGGGUGAGGAAUACAUCGGAAUCUACUUUUUCGUGGGGGAUAACGUAGGGAAACUUACGCUAAUACCGCAUACGACCUACGGGUGAAAGCAGGGGAUCUUCGGACCUUGCGCGAUUGAAUGAGCCGAUGUCGGAUUAGCUAGUUGGCGGGGUAAAGGCCCACCAAGGCGACGAUCCGUAGCUGGUCUGAGAGGAUGAUCAGCCACACUGGAACUAAGACACGGUCCAGACUCCUACGGGAGGCAGCAGUGGGGAAUAUUGGACAAUGGGCGCAAGCCUGAUCCAGCCAUACCGCGUGGGUGAAGAAGGCCUUCGGGUUGUAAAGCACUUUUGUUGGGAAAGAAAAGCAGCAGGUUAAUACCCCGCUGUUCUGACGGUACCCAAAGAAUAAGCACCGGCUAACUUCGUG